rnacentral:tRNA from 1 species
GCGGAUGUAGCCAAGUGGACCAAGGCAGUGGAUUGUGAAUCCACCAUGC